UUGAUAAGUUUUGAGCCUAGAUGAUUUAGGUAUGCAUUGGUAUGAAUUUUGGGGUAUUUGGAGCUUCGGAAAUGGUCCAGAAGCAUCAAAAAACGCUGCCCCCAAAGUGCGCACGACGUGCUGCACUUCAGCACGUCGUGCUGGUGCGCGACGUGCACCAGAAGGGUGCACGACGUGCACCACAAGGGUGCACGACGUGCACCAGUGAAGGGCACGUCGUGCCCUUCAUGAAAAAUGAAGGGCACGAGGUGCCAAGCUAGCACGACGUGCCCUACUUCGAUCGUGACCUCCGGGGGACUUCCGGGAGCGAAAAUUGGCCUCUGAUGGCAUGAUAUGGGCGUAGAACUCUGACAAAUGUCUUAAAAUGAAUAUUAAUAAGACAUUAUAGCAAUGAACAUUAACAUGAUGAGUAAUAGAGAUAUGAAUAGAGAUCUAUAGAGAAAGAUACGUUUAGAACACGACGAUUAUAUUUCGUGCUUUUGUCGUGUUAGGUACCUAGUGCAGUUUUUAAGAACAAGAUUCUCUAAGUAUAUAUUUUAACGAUAGAAUCCUGUGAUAGAUGUGACGGACUAUCGAUCUACGAGUAUGACGAACCAAGAAGCUCGACGAGGAUUGACGGACCAGUCUCCUGGAGCUUACGUUUGGAUAUAAGGAAUAGCGAUCGUUGUGUUUAGAGUCGGAUCAGACAGACCGUCUUUGGUGUGCUGAGUACGAGUCCCCUUGGUGCUGCAGUAGUAUACGUAUGACGAGUCUUAGCAUAGAAUAGUCAGGUCUUAUAGGUUGUGUACAUAUUUAAUGUUUGUUUGAUGUGACGUCUUUUGGUUGUCAGUUUUGUAUUGAUCGAUAGACGGGCUAGUACGUACAAGUUACGGAAGUGAGAUGCCCACUAUGGUUGUAUCGAUGAUGUGAUAUAUAUGAUGUACGUUAUGAUUGUAAACGUGUCUUCUUAUUACAUGUUUAUAGGAUAGUUGUGUUUGCGUUUCCGCGAAAAAGUUAGAGUGGUUUUAGGCUUGCUACGGGUUUCGGAGCUACCACUCCCAUUCCCUAGCGCCGGUCUCGGCUCAAUAAUUUGGGUCGUGACAAAGUUGGUAUCAGAGCAGUUGGUCCAGUUACCUCUGCUAAUAUAUGAUUUGAGUGCAGUUAGUCCAUGAUACCACUGCGAGUCUGUGAUUGAUGUUUGUUUGUUCCUAGGUAUUAGGUCAUUAGACUAAGCUAGGAACUACUGCAGCUAUAGAAUUGAGCCAUGUCUGAUCCAAGUCGUUUGUAUUAUUUGUUUUAAGAUCGAGCUGAUUGAUUGUGAAUUUUUGAUUGAUUGAGAAUUCUUGUUUGUUUCAUUAUGAUAAGUAUGAUCGAUGGAUUGUGAAA